CAGUGCUUUGACCACCCUGUGCUUUUGCUGGCUGUGGAUGCACCGGUCAGGUAAUUGACAAGAAUUUUUUUUCUUUUUGUGGCUGUGCCCAAGGCAUGCAGAAGUUCUCAGGCCACGGAUGGAACCGGUGCCACAGCAGUGAUCCGAGCAACAGUAGUGACAACGCUGGUGCCUUAACCCACUGAGGCACCAGGGAACUCCAGCAUCCUAUCUUUUACCUUGUUCUCAUCGGACUUCUUCAGCAUCCACUGUGGCCAAGUCUAAAGCAUAGAGCUGAGGCAAUGCCUGCCCACUUCAGGCUGUGUUGAGAGCCAGUUGUGUUGAUUGUGGUCUUCAGAGAAAGUGAAGCUGGCAGUCCAGCUCAUCCUCCCAGCUGCUAAGUCCUAUAAAUGAUGGGACUUUUCUUCCAGUGAACUGUGCUUGGAAGCUGAGUUCUGCCUUUAAACGCCUUCUCCCGUAUCUGCUCGAGUCCCUGGGCGACUGAACGCUGGGAGAUGCGUGUUGCCUGGUGUUUCCUUUGCUCCUCUCCUCCUUCCAUCCCCCUGACUCUCGGUUCUGGGGUUCAGCCCUAACACGGGAUGCUCACCAGCUUUCUAAUCGGCCGGAAGUAACUCCAGAAUCCAGCGAGUGGAAGAAAAUGACUGUAGAUGCAGCCUGAGGAAGGGCUCCGAAAUUUUGUGCCCUGAACUCCGUGCAGAUUUUGCAAGAGUCGUAGGAGAGAAGACAAAACCCAAGCGCCUGGAAAGAAACCCGUUAAUCUGUGAAGCCGGUCAUCUUCGGGGAACCGACACACAGCUGCCAGGGUGUGAGCUUAGAGAGCCCUGGACAGGCCGGUAUUGGUGUACACUGUACAGCCAGACCAAGGGUCGACAUGCUAAAAGGCCUGUGCUUGUUGCUAAACUGACACUGUCCUGAGUAACCCCAGACCCCAAGGGCCACCAUCUCCCCCUAGACCUGCCUGAACCUCCUCCCCCACAGUGAUGAUUGGAGACCCAGUGGGCAGCUAUGUUAUCACAGGGCUCUGACGCCUUUGCCACCUGGACUCAACCUCAGGGCUGGUACAGUGGCCGCUACACCAAAUCCGCAGUCCUGACCUCCUCAGGACCCUCCUUCAUCCCAGCACAACCCAGCUCCAUGGUCCAUUUUCCAGUUCCCCUACACCGCCUUCCCUGCGUGUGACCCAGCCAUCCCCACAUCAAAUGCUGCUUCUGCCUUUUCCUCCUUGCUCUGCUAAAAUUCCUUCUGCCCCAAAAGGGCUUGCUCAAGAAGUGACUUUUCCUUCCUCACUGAUGUUUUCAUGCACGUAAAAAAAAAAAAAAUUUUACAAGUAAACAUAUUUCAUGUAUCUGUGAUUA